rnacentral:lncRNA from 1 species
AUAGUCACAGAAGGUAGGUUUCGAUGGCUAUAACAGCAACCCUUGCUCCAUUGCCGAUCAGGAGAGUGAUCUCUCCUUCCUUCAGCCUCCUUACUUCUUCAAGAUCCUGCAUAAAAGUGCACAAAUGAGCACUUGAUCUAGAAUCUAGAACCCAAUUAGAAGAAGAGGAAAUCAUUAGAUUAGUUUCAAUAACGAGCAAUUCAAAUAUACUCUCAGAAGUCCCAUCCUUUUUCUUACUCUUGAC